rnacentral:rRNA from 1 species
GGGUCAGUAGGUUGGUCGUGCCACCGGUACGUACUGGUCUCACUGAUUCCUCCUUCCUGAAGAACCGUAAUUCCAUUAAUUUGGUGUUGCGGGGAAACAGGACUGUUACUUUGAAAAAUUAGAGUGUUUAAAGCAAGCUAACGCUUGAAUACAUUAGCAUGGAAUAAUGAAAUAGGACGAUCGAUCCUAUUUUGUUGGUUUCUAGGAUUGACGUA